GUCUAUGGCUAUACCACCCUGAACAUUCCUGAUCUUGUCUGAUCUUGGAAACUAAGCAGGGUUGGGCCUUGUUAAUACCUGGAUGGGAGACACUUAAUAUGAUGGGUUGUCGGGAUU
ensembl:rRNA 5S_rRNA 5S ribosomal RNA